rnacentral:rRNA from 1 species
UACGAAUGGGGCAAGCGUUGUUCGGAAUCACUGGGCUUAAAGCGUAUGUAGGCGGACAUGCAAGUCAGGAGUGAAAUCCCCGGGCUCAACCUGGGAACUGCUCUUGAAACUGCACGUCUAGAAUCCUGGAGAGGUUGGGAGAAUUCCUAGUGUAGAGGUGAAAUUCGCAGAUAUUAGGAGGAAUACCAGUGGCGUAGGCGCCCAACUGGACAGGUAUUGACGCUCAGAUACGAAAGCGUGGGGAGCAAACAGG